GAUUUACAUUUGAGUGAGUGGCGAACUGGUGAGUAACACGUGGGAAACCUGCCCAGAAGCGGGGGAUAACACCUGGAAACAGAUGCUAAUACCGCAUAACAACUUGGACCGCAUGGUCCGAGUUUGAAAGAUGGCUUCGGCUAUCACUUUUGGAUGGUCCCGCGGCGUAUUAGCUAGAUGGUGNGGUAACGGCUCACCAUGGCAAUGAUACGUAGCCGACCUGAGAGGGUAAUCGGCCACAUUGGGACUGAGACACGGCCCAAACUCCUACGGGAGGCAGCAGUAGGGAAUCUUCCACAAUGGACGAAAGUCUGAUGGAGCAACGCCGCGUGAGUGAAGAAGGGUUUCGGCUCGUAAAACUCUGUUGUUAAAGAAGAACAUAUCUGAGAGUAACUGUUCAGGUAUUGACGGUAUUUAACCAGAAAGCCACGGCUAANUACGUGCCAGCAGCCGCGGUAAUACGUAGGUGGCAAGCGUUGUCCGGAUUUAUUGGGCGUAAAGCGAGCGCAGGCGGUUUUUUAAGUCUGAUGUGAAAGCCUUCGGCUCAACCGAAGAAGUGCAUCGGAAACUGGGAAACUUGAGUGCAGAAGAGGACAGUGGAACUCCAUGUGUAGCGGUGAAAUGCGUAGAUAUAUGGAAGAACACCAGUGGCGAAGGCGGCUGUCUGGUCUGUAACUGACGCUGAGGCUCGAAAGUAUGGGUAGCAAACAGGAUUAGAUACCCUGGUAGUCCAUACCGUAAACGAUGAAUGCUAAGUGUUGGAGGGUUUCCGCCCUUCAGUGCUGCAGCUAACGCAUUAAGCAUUCCGCCUGGGGAGUACGGCCGCAAGGCUGAAACUCAAAGGAAUUGACGGGGGCCCGCACAAGCGGUGGAGCAUGUGGUUUAAUUCGAAGCUACGCGAAGAACCUUACCAGGUCUUGACAUACUAUGCAAAUCUAAGAGAUUAGACGUUCCCUUCGGGGACAUGGAUACAGGUGGUGCAUGGUUGUCGUCAGCUCGUGUCGUGAGAUGUUGGGUUAAGUCCCGCAACGAGCGCAACCCUUAUUAUCAGUUGCCAGCAUUAAGUUGGGCACUCUGGUGAGACUGCCGGUGACAAACCGGAGGAAGGUGGGGAUGACGUCAAAUCAUCAUGCCCCUUAUGACCUGGGCUACACACGUGCUACAAUGGAUGGUACAACGAGUUGCGAACUCGCGAGAGUAAGCUAAUCUCUUAAAGCCAUUCUCAGUUCGGAUUGUAGGCUGCAACUCGCCUACAUGAAGUCGGAAUCNCUAGUAAUCGCGGAUCAGCAUGCCGCGGUGAAUACGUUCCCGGGCCUUGUACACACCGCCCGUUCACACCAUGAGAGUUUGUAACACCCAAAGNCGGUGGG
rnacentral:rRNA from 1 species